UUGUGUUUUCUAAAAGGGCAUGCUAUAGUGUAAAAGUAAUCUAUUUUGAAACGUAAUUUGAGCUAUAAGUUAAACAUUAUAAGACUCCUUUUGCCUAUCAAAUAUUUAUUGCACUAUAAACGUACGUUGAUACGUAUCAGGAGGAAAUAUACAUGAAUAACGGUACAGUAAAAUGGUUUAACGCAGACAAAGGUUUUGGAUUUAUCACUGGUGAAGAUGGAAAUGACGUAUUCGCUCAUUUUUCAGCUAUCCAAGGUGACGGUUUCAAAACAUUAGACGAAGGUCAAGCUGUGACUUUUGAUGUUGAAGAUGGACAACGUGGCCCUCAAGCAAUCAACAUCGUUAAAGCAUAAUCAAACGAUUGAUAUCUUACUGCUCUUUCUUAUGAAAGAGCAGUUUUU
rnacentral:sRNA from 1 species